CCUACGGGUUGCAGCAGUGGGGAAUAUUGGACAAUGGGCGAAAGCCUGAUCCAGCAAUGCCGCGUGUGUGAAGAAGGUCUUCGGAUUGUAAAGCACUUUCGACGGGGACGAUGAUGACGGUACCCGUAGAAGAAGCCCCGGCUAACUUCGUGCCAGCAGCCGCGGUAAUACGAAGGGGGCUAGCGUUGUUCGGAAUUACUGGGCGUAAAGCGCGCGUAGGCGGAUAGAUAAGUCAGAGGUGAAAUCCCGGGGCUCAACCCCGGAAUUGCCUUUGAUACUGUUUAGCUGGAGUGCAGAAGAGGUAAGUGGAAUUCCGAGUGUAGAGGUGAAAUUCGUAGAUAUUCGGAGGAACACCAGUGGCGAAGGCGGAUUUCUGGUCUGCAACUGACGCUGAGGCACGAAAGCGUGGGGAGCAAACAGGAUUAGAUACCCCCGUAG
rnacentral:rRNA from 1 species